AUCCAGCUGACGAGUCCCAAAUAGAACGAAACGCGCAUAAAAUCGGAU
rfam:Schistosoma mattheei strain Denwood, Zambia genome assembly, scaffold: SMTD_scaffold0000087